rnacentral:rRNA from 1 species
UACAGAGGUCUCAAGCGUUGUUCGGAUUCAUUGGGCGUAAAGGGAGCGUAGGUGGCGGGGUUAGUCAGGUGUGAAAUCCCCGGGCUCAACCUGGGAACUGCAUUUGUGACUGCAUCGGCUGGAGUGCGGCAGAGGGGGAUGGAAUUCCUGGUGUAGCGGUGAAAUGCGCAGAUAUCAGGAAGAACACCAAUGGCGAAAGCAGCUCUCUGGGACGGUACUGACGCUGAGACGCGAAAGCGUGGGGAGCGAACAGG